UAAGCAGAGUGACAAUAUACAGCCUUGCUGCACUCCUUUCCCAAUUUUAAUCCAGUCUGUUUUUCCAUGUCCACUUCAAAUCGUUGCUUCUUAACCUACAUAUAAGUUUCUCAGGAGGCAGGUAAUGUGGUCUGCUAGUCCCAUCUCUUUAAGGAUUUUGCAGUUUGUUGUGAUCCACAGAGUUAAAGGCAUUAGUGUAGUCAGUGAAACAGAAGUAGAUGUUUUACUGGAACUCUCUUGCUUUUUUGAUGAUCCAGCAGAUGUUGGCAAUUUGAUCUCUGGUUCCCCUACCUUUUCUAAAACCAGUUUGAAC